AUAUCAAUAAGCGGAGGAAAAGAAACUAACAAGGAUUCCCCUAGUAACUGCGAGUGAAGCGGGAAGAGCUCAAAUUUAAAAUCUGGCGUGCCUCUGGUCGUCCGAGUUGUAGUCUGGAGAAGCGUUUUCCGUGUUGGACCGUGUAUAAGUCCCUUGGAACAGGGCGUCAUAGAGGGUGAGAAUCCCGUGCUUGACGCGACGACCGGUGCUCUGUGAUACGUUCUCUACGAGUCGAGUUGUUUGGGAAUGCAGCUCUAAAUGGGUGGUAGACUCCAUCUAAGGCUAAAUAUUGGCGAGAGACCGAUAGCGCACAAGUA
rnacentral:rRNA from 1 species